rnacentral:tRNA from 1 species
UACUUAAAUAAUUUAGAUUAAAAUAUUGAUUUGUGGAAUCAAAUAUAUGGGUAACCAUUUUAAGU